AUGGUGCUCCUCGUCCCUGGUGAAUUUGAUCGAGCGGACGGCCUCUCCUCCCCUCGGAGCGGGUGGGUGAACGGGCCCAUCGUCCUCAGCGCCGGGCCGGCGGGCAUCGUCCUGGCCGAGAUGUUCCGGGAGCAGGGCGUGCCCUUCGUCGUCCCGGAGCCCGACGACAACUGCAUCACCUCCUUCUGGCAGAGGCGCGUCUACGACCGCCUCCGACUGCACCUCCAGUUCUGCCACCGCCGCCAGCUUGCCGAGCACCUCGAGAUCUGCCCCACCAAGCUCGACAUCGAGCAGGAGCUCCGCGGCGGGAGAUCGGCGGCACCGUCGUGCGCCCCGCCGUGGCCAGCUCCUCGGGGGCCGGCCGGUCGCUCGUCGUCGCGGCCGCCGCGUGCGGGACGUCCCUGGCCAGGCAUGCUCUGGGGACGCUGUGAUCGAGAUCCACGGCAGCGAGGGCCGGCCCGGCGAUCGAGCCGCCAGGCGUAA
rnacentral:rRNA from 1 species